UACGAGGGGGGCGAGCGUUGCUCGGAAUUAUUGGGCGUAAAGGGUGCGUAGGCGGUUUGGUAAGUCUCUUGUGAAAUCUAUGGGCUCAACUCAUAGUCUGCAAGGGAAACUGCCGGGCUUGAGUGUGGGAGAGGUGAGUGGAAUUUCCGGUGUAGCGGUGAAAUUCGUAGAUAUCGGGAGGAACACCAGUGGCGAAGGCGGCGAUCUGGGAAGAUACUGACGCUGAGGUGCGAAAGCGUGGGGAGCAAACAGG
rnacentral:rRNA from 1 species